rnacentral:rRNA from 1 species
GAUGAAUGCUGGCGGCGUGGAUAAGGCAUGCAAGUCGAGUGGGUUUAGACCCACGGCGAACGAGGUAGUAACACGUAGGAAUUCACCCUCAAGUCGGGGAUAACCUGCCGAAAGGCAGAAUAAUACUCGAUGGUCUCGCGAGAGUAAAGAUUUAUCGCUUGAGGAGAAGCCUGCGGGAUAUCAGCUAGUUGGUAAGGUAAUGGCUUACCAAGGCUAUGACGUCUAGGGGAGGUGAGAGCCUGGCCCCCACCGAUGGUACUGAGACACGGACCAUACACCUACGGGUGGCUGCAGUCGAGAAUCUUCCGCAAUGGGCGAAAGCCUGACGGAGCGACGCCGCGUGAUGGAUGAAGUUCUUCGGGACGUAAACAUCUUUUAUGAGGGAGAAAUUUAUUGAUAGUACCUCAUGAAUAAGGACCUGCUAAACUCGUGCCAGCAGCAGCGGUAAUACGAGUGGUCCAGCAUUAUCCGGAAUUAUUGGGCGUAAAGGGUGCGUAGGUGGUCUUGUUAGUCUCUUGUUAAAACUCCCGGCCUAACCGGGAAGCUGCGAGAGAUACGGCAAGACUUGAGGGUGUAAGAGGCUUAUGGAACUCAUGGUGUAGGGGUGAAAUCCGUUGAUAUCAUGGGGAACACCAAAUGCGAAGGCAAUAAGCUGGUGCACACCUGACACUGAGUGCACGAAAGCGUGGGUUUCGAACGGGAUUAGAUACCCCGGUAGUCCACGCCCUAAACGAUGAUCACUAGCUUUUCGGAGUAUCGACCCUCUGAGAGGCGAAGCUAACGCGUUAAGUGAUCCGCCUGGGAAGUACGGCCGCAAGGCUAAAACUCAAAAGAAUAGACGGGGACUUGCACAAGCAGUGGAUCAUGUGGUUUAAUUCGACGAUAAACGAAGAACCUCACCAGGGCUAGAAAUCCAGACGAAGUCCAUCAGAAACGAUGGAUGUCUCACAAGGACGGCUGGACAGGUGAUGCAUGGCUGUCGUCAGUUCGUGGUUUGAAUUGUUCCCUUAAGUGGGGUAACGAACGCAACCCCUGUCGCGUGUUAUAAGUGUCACGCGAGACUGCUCUGUUUAACAGAGAGGAAGCGGGGAUGACGCCAAGUCAGCAUGUCCCUCUGACGCCCUGGGCUACACACAUGAUACAAUCGCCGUUACAACAGGUCGCGACGGGGAAACCCUGAGCUAAUCCUUAAAAAGCGGCGCCAGUUCGGAUUGAGGUCUGCAACUCGACCUCAUGAAGCCGGAAUUGCUAGUAAUCGCGGGUCAGCUAUACCGCGGUGAAUACGUUCUCAAGUCUUGUACUCACCGCCCGUCAAGCCAGGGGAGCCGGUAGUACCCGAAGUGUCCUCUCGGGGAUCCUAAGGUAAGAUCGGUAAC